AAAAAGCAUUUCACGAAGAGAACUCUGUCGCAAUACCGAUCGGCUGGACGAUCGAUUCGCCGGCCGAUCGCGAUCUAAGGCGCACGAAAUCCCGACAGAUCACCUCGCAAUUACGCGGAUCAACGAUAGUGAAAGUAACCAGCGCAAGGUCACGUCGCCAGAAGUAUUUAAUUAUCGCGCGAUCUCCCUCUUUCUUUCUGUUUCUCUCUUUUCCUCUGUCUGUCUAUCUUUCUCUCGCAAUCUACGCCGUCACGGAGAUUCGCACGCUGGCCUCUCACCCACCUCGCCGAAGAAGACGAUCAAUGGACUUCUCAGCAAUUUCCUCUGAGAAACUCGAAUGUAUUCCGAAAUUAGGGGAACUGAGAAUAAUUAUUUGACGAGAAUAAUUAUACGUAAUAAAGAGAAAGUUUCUUGUAAUCAGAAUAAGCGAGCAAAAUACAAAAGAGCUUGAAUGUGUAUGAGCUAACAAACACUCGGAUUACUAAUAAGGAAAUUACACACCCGCCGAUGAUCGCCGAUAUAAGCGGAAAGGGAGAAAGCAACGUGCAAGAAAACGAAAAUAGCUUUCGCACCUGAUCCGCAGACGGGGGUUCGCUUUCUGCUAAAUCCUUAUCCCGUGUAUCCUCGCGACGACGCAGAUGGUGUCAUAGUCGACGAGUGACGGCGUGACGGUGAAACCAGAGGAUUCGCUUCCUGGGUGAAUUUCAGCUGGCUGGACGUUCGGCCGAUCGAUGUUAGCUGGCCGUUUGGUCACUCUCUCUUCCCUCUUCGUAUCUUUAGCGCGCGGAACGCAGGGCACGCGUGGACGACGAAGAAAGCGAGGGCCGUCGACGGUUCCGUCGAAGCGAGGGUGAACGUCGCGAGGCGAGCUGUUGACGACGACGACGACGACGGGAUCGCGCAAGAUCGCCGGAAUCGGUCAGGUGAAAGCGGAGCCGAGAGGUGAACGUUGGCCGCACGACUGCCAUGGCAUCGUCUACCAAGGACUUGAAAUGACCAUUUGGCAGCCAUCUGUAGCAAUUAAAAUUUAAAAAUCCAUAAUUGGCCACCUGGACUUCCGGA